UGUGCUUCCAUGGUUUUUUUUAUCACAUGCUUGCCACACUUUCAUAAAAAAAACUAUGAUAGAGAAUUUGAAGGAGCCAAGAUUUAGCCUAGAGAUGUAUGAACCUUGGGUGUAAAAACGUCUCCAAAUGAGCCACCUCUUUUGAGCCCUUGUUUUUUACAGAUUUUCUCCACUAAACUUUUUCUUUUCAGAUUUCUGAGUUGAGUCGUUUUGCUGAGAUCUGAUCCAAAUUUCUGUGAGUUGUUGGAGCUUGUCGGUGGCAUAACUUGGGAUUGAUUACCUCCAUGAUCAGUCUUACUUAGCUGAAAUCCCUGACUCUACUUAUACCACUCUUUUGUGUGUGAACGAAAAAAAUUGAAGGCUCAUUACCAAAUCCACCACCGAAUUCCCAUCUUUACACCUCUCAUCCGAUUCCAACAACAACAACAGGAACCCACUUCAAUUUCAGUACCUCAAUUCGAUAACAAAGAAGCAACAACGGUUCAUGCGGCUGAUAUUGUGCUUGAGUUCCUCUCUGUAAAGGAUGAGUUAAUUCUCAACUCUAUCAUCCGACGGCCCUCAUCAGGUUCUUCGUAGACAGUCUCAGCUUGCAUUUCAUCAAAGCUGUUCGAUGUAAUUCCUGUUGAGGUAUACUCACUUGAUGUCAGAGCCUACAAUACUAUACUGCAUGCCUAUGCUCGGGCAGGAUUCAGAAGGCAAUCAUCCUAUUAGAGCAGAUGAAAGAGAAGGGCUUCCUCUUAACCUUAGCCACCUACAAUCUCAUGCUUGAUGUCUAAGGAAAGAUGGGUCGCUCAUGGAUUAAGAUUUUAGACCUCUUGGAUGAAAUGAAAAGCAAAGGACUUGAAUUUGAUGAGUUCACUUGCAGCACUGUUAUAUCUGUUUGUGGGAGAGAAGGGUUAUUGGAGAAAGCAUCAAAGUUCUUUGAUGGCCCAAAGUCACAGGGUUCUGUUUCAAGAACUGUUACCUACAAUGCUUUGCUGCAUCUGUUUGUUAAGGCAGGGAGGCAUUAAGCAUUUUGAAGGAAUUGGAGCAAAACAACUGCCCUCCUGAUUCCGUGACUUAAAAUGAGCUUCUGGUUGCAUAUGUGAGGGCAGGAUUUUCUUGGGGCUUACCUAAAAAAAGGGCUGGAUUCUAUGAAGAAGAGGCCAUAGACACACUGGCCGGUAGGGGACUUGUGCCAAAUGUUGUUACUCAGCUACACUUUCAAUGCCUAUGGUAAAACAGGGAAAGAGGAUAAGGCUUUGCGUUUGUUCAAGCGUAUGAAAGAAUUAGGUUGUGUUCCCAGUGUUUGCAUUUCUGUAAAUACUGUGUAGUUUGGGGGUAUUACAGUAAACCUGUAAAUAAGGGUAUUUAGGACAUUUUAUAGGAAGGUUGCUACAGUAAUAUGGGUGGGGGCUUGCAGUUUGGGUAUUAAGAUGGUGUUGUGGAUAGCUUGAGCCAUACUAUGUAGCUUGAAGCCAUAAUGACAUUUUUGUAAUUAACAUAUAUAUAGUGCUUGAAUUGAUUCUAUAAAAAGCCUUCCAAA